rnacentral:pre_miRNA from 1 species
GUGCGGUGAUGAUGGUGAUGAUGAUGCUGGUGGUGGUGAUGGCUGUAAGUAUGAUCAUCAUCAUCAUCAUCAUCAUCAUCGUCAUCAUCAUCGUCA